rnacentral:ncRNA from 2 species
UACGGGGGAUGCAAGCGUUGUCCGGAAUCAUUGGGCGUAAAGAGUUCGUAGGUGGCCUGUUAAGUCUGGUGUUAAAUGCAGAGGCUCAACUUCUGUUCGGCACUGGAUACUGGCAAGCUUGAAUGCGGUAGAGGUAAAGGGAAUUCCUGGUGUAGCGGUGAAAUGCGUAGAUAUCAGGAGGAACAUCGGUGGCGAAAGCGCUUUACUGGGCCGUAAUUGACACUGAGGAACGAAAGCCAGGGUAGCAAAUGGG